CCCUAAAGCAGCCAAGAGGGAUUGAGUACUUGUGCAUCCAGCGCAGAAGCUUAAAAACAUUGUAUCAAAUAAAUUUGGGCUCCACCUGAGAAAUGGAAAUGCUGAAAACAAAUAGAGGAAAUAGCUACUUUGUGCGGCAUGUUCCCUUACAGAGAAGGCUAAAGAGUGGAUAAGAGGAAAUCUAGUUAAUCCAGGCCAACACAGCAUUUAAGGACACCUUGAUAACGAAAGAGAUGGAGCACAGAGCAGGAUAAAAAGAAUCAAAAUUGUCUACAAAUGAGGUA
rnacentral:lncRNA from 1 species